rnacentral:lncRNA from 1 species
UCCUGUGAGAUUUCAGGUAGCCUAUAUAUAAGAUAUAAUAAAACUAAAAUUCUUAACCUAGUUAUAACAUUUUGAAUUAUAAUUAAUUAGAUCUAAAAAAUUAAGAGAGUUAAACAUGUUAGGGCUAAAAUAAUUCUAUAAUGGGUGACUCCUUGGAAAGCGAUGCGUCACAUAUCCAUCCUUCAUUCAUGAUCGCUAUAGCAAAAUUAUCUUUUAGUGACGAUUAUCUUUAAAUGGAUAAUAUCUAAUACGUUCUUUAAAAUUUUAAAAAUAUCUUAUUUAUUUUUAGGAGACCAUAA